rnacentral:rRNA from 1 species
UGAAUACGAGACGCUAAGGCGUCGAAGUAGUGUAUGUCAUACUUCCAAGAAAAGCUUGCACUGUCAUAGAUAAAAAACGCCUGUACCAUAACCGACACAGGUGGGUAGGUAGAGUAUACUAAGGGGCGCGAGAUAACUCUCUCUAAGGAACUCGGCAAAAUAACUCCGUAACUUCGGGAGAAGGAGUGCCUUAUUCGUAAGGUUGCAAUAACAAGAUCCAAGCAACUGUUUAUCAAAAACACAGGUCUCCGCUAAGUCGUAAGACGAUGUAUGGGGGCUGACGCCUGCCCAGUGCCAGAAGGUUAAAGAAGUUGGUUAGCAAUUGCGAAGCUGAUAACUGAAGCCCUGGUGAACGGCGGCCGUAACUAUAACGGUCCUAAGGUAGCGAAAUUCCUUGUCGGGUAAGUUCCGACCCGCACGAAAGGCGUAAUGAUUUGGAUACUGUCUCGGAGAGGGGCUCGGUGAAAUAGACUUGUCUGUGAAGAUGCGGACUACCUGCACCAGGACGGAAAGACCCUAUGAAGCUUUACUGUAACUUGAAAUUGAAAUUGGACUUUAUUCGCGCAGUAUAGGUGGGAGGCGUUGAUUAUAAUCUUGUGGGAUUAUUGGAGCCAUCAGUGAGAUACCACUCUUGUAAUGUUAGAUUUCUAACUUUGAAUCAUUAUCUGGUCAAGGAACAGUUUCAGGCGGGCAGUUUGACUGGGGCGGUCGCCUCCUAAACGGUAACGGAGGCGUACAAAGGUUUCCUCUGAACGGUUAGAAAUCGUAUCUAGAGUGUAAAGGCAUAAGGAAGCUUGACUGUGAGACCUACAAGUCGAGCAGGGACGAAAGUCGGUCUUAGUGAUCUGACGGUACUGAGUGGAAAGGCCGUCACUCAACGGAUAAAAGUUACUCUUGGGAUAACAGGCUGAUCUCCCCCGAGAGUUCACAUCGACGGGGAGGUUUGGCACCUCGAUGUCGGCUCAUCGCAUCCUGGGGCGGUAGUACGUCCCAAGGGUUGGGCUGUUUCGCCCAUGAAAGCGGUACGCGAGCUGGGUUCAGAACGUCGUGAGACAGUUCGGUCCAUAUCCGGUGUAGGCGUUAGAAUAUUGAGAGGAGCCUUCUUUGUACGAGAGGACCGAGAAGGACAUACCUCUGGUGUACCAGUUAUCGUGCCAACGGUAAACGCUGGGUAGCUAUGUAUGGAGUGGAUAACCGCUGAAAGCAUCUAAGUGGGAAGCCCACCUCAAGAUAAGUAUUCUC